AAGGGCUUACCUGCAGGGAGGUUGAGACUGAAUAUCUGAGUGAAGCAGGGCUGGGGAGCUCCAGUCUAGAAAGCCCCAGGCUGCGGCCUAGCAGUGGGCCAACAGGCACCAGUCACUACAGUACCUAGACACAGAAGAGACCCAGUCAGGAAAAGUGUCAACUACCUCCUUUGAGGCACUUAGUGUCCUCUAUCCAAGGCCUAGGAGGUGUCUUCAUGCCUCAUUGUACCUGGAAUUCCUGUACCCAGAACAAAGAUAUGGGUGCAUCAUGACCUGGAACGCAUGGUGGAUUCAGAACAAAGAAGAUUCAUAGAAGAACUUAGGGGCUAGCCCCAUGCAUACACUGGAAGGGAGAACAAUCCAUUCAGCAAAGAUGCCAGAGAGGUAGUAGACUACCAGUCUUUCCCUACAAGAAGACAACACCAGACAAUGGGGCUGACUCCAGUCUUGGCAGAUCUGUGGAAGGGCAGAGCCAUCCAUAUGGAGGCCCUGUGCUUCUGCACUGGCAUUGGCCCCUCGCAGCCCCCUUGGCUCUCUGUUAGGAUGGCUCCAUUG